rnacentral:rRNA from 1 species
UACGGGGGGGGCAAGCGUUGUUCGGAAUUACUGGGCGUAAAGGGCCAGUAGGCGGCCAACUAAGUCGGAUGUGAAAUCCCCAGGCUUAACCUGGGAACUGCAUCCGAUACUGGAUGGCUUGAAUUCGGGAGAGGGAUGCAGAAUUCCAGGUGUAGCGGUGAAAUGCGUAGAUAUCAAGUGGAACACCAGUGGCGAAGGCGAGUCCCUGGACAACUCCUGACACUGAGGCACGAAAGCUAGGGGAGCAAACAGG